rnacentral:rRNA from 1 species
AACGAACGCUGGCGGCAUGCCUAACACAUGCAAGUCGAACGAGACCUUCGGGUCUAGUGGCGCACGGGUGCGUAACGCGUGGGAACCUGCCCUUAGGUUCGGAAUAACUCCCCGAAAGGGGUGCUAAUACCGGAUAAUGUCUUCGGACCAAAGAUUUAUCGCCUUUGGAUGGGCCCGCGUUGGACUAGCUAGUUGGUAGGGUAAAAGCCUACCAAGGCGACGAUCCAUAGCUGGUCUGAGAGGAUGAUCAGCCACACUGGGACUGAGACACGACCCAGACUCCUACGGGAGGCAGCAGUGGGGAAUAUUGGACAAUGGGCGAAAGCCUGAUCCAGCAAUGCCGCGUGAGUGAUGAAGGCCUUAGGGUUGUAAAGCUCUUUUACCCGGGAUGAUAAUGACAGUACCGGGAGAAUAAGCUCCGGCUAACUCCGUG